UCUGUCUCUCACUGCUUUGCGUGGCCUCCCAGAGAAAUCGCCUGCUUAGACUUCUGAAGUUUUCCCUUUUCUGAGGCGCAAAUGCUUGUUCCCAUCCGAAGACCGUUAAAGAGGAUCCUCCGAGGUUUGACAAGUUGAUACAAUAGAGAAAUUCCACGUUCUUCUUGAAGGUUCAGUUCUGGAGCGAUCACGUAACAGGAAUGGAAGCUGGUCGAGUGAGAGCCAGCAGCACCAUUGCUUCAUCCGCAGGGACAUCUGUUCUACCACCAGUUCCAAGCCAUGAUUAGCACGGAGGAGUCUGGGCAGCCGGGAAAUGAACAAGCAGAGCACCCCUUGAUUCCCCUGCCUUUUAGAGUUCAUCAUUCUGGAAAGCCCUUCUAGUGUUUUGACUAAUAUAU